rnacentral:tRNA from 1 species
CGUAGCUCAGUUGGUAGAGCGUCUCGUUCGCAAUGAGAAGGUCAGGGGUUCGACUCCCCUCG